GCCUGGCAUUUUAUUUGGGCUUCUCCCAAAGGAGAGAAAGUUAAAAAAUAGAUAUAUUCACAAACCACCACCACCCUGAACAGCUGGGGGUGGUGGUGGUUCGGUUCGACCCCGGACCAUCGAGCCGGUUUGCACAUCCCUAGCCUUGAUUUGCAUUCAGAUGGAUGACUUCAUGGUCAUGUGUUCUCCUGCUCGAGUAUUCAUAGAACAAAGCAACUGGAUUUCACAGCCUUGUUUGUCACGAGGGAUAUAAGAUAGUUCAGUGCGCUCUAUAUCAUAUACUGACAAAGAUUAUGCACUUGGCUGAACACUCAAUGCACCUUCCUGGAACACUUUGCCUUUCAAAUCUGCAAGCAAACAGCUGACUCUGCACUGCUGUGUUUGCUCGGUACCUGUCCUCAUCAAGCCUCUACAAUCUGGAGUAGAGAUGUUGACAACAGUAAUCAAUAGAGCAAAGAAUGAUGAACCAAUGAAAUGAGUCUGCCUGAAAGGCCGCUGCAGCAACCACAACAACCAUCGCAACAGGCGGUAUCCUAAUUAUUGUUUUGAGGGGAAACGGCAGAUGAAAGCUUGAACGCCAAAAUAACAAGAUCAAUAUUUUAAACCUUGCAAAGUGGUAAGGUUAAACAAGAAGAGGCCAGAAGUACAGCUUGCGGCACAAGGCAACUAGAUUAGAUCUCUUUGAUUGGUAGAGCAGAGGCCAUCCAAAAUCUAGUCAGGCUUCGGCCUAGUUCUCACUGAAGUGGCAAAUCUAUGCCUUGGCUUCACCAGAUUGCAGGCGGCAGCUCUUGUCGCUGAUUCCUUCUCUAUAACAACAACCCCCCCCCCCGCAUGAAGAAAACUAGUAUGUCAGGGGAAGGCUAGGCCAGACUCUUUCUCCCUCAUGUCUGUUUUUCUAUGCAGAAGGAAUAUUUUUGUAUGGAAGAGCUUUCAGGCAAAGAAGCCCCCAUUUGUAGUAUGAACUGACUGUAAAACUGAUGAAACGCAGUCUGGACAUUAAGAAUCAGGCUUAGGUCUCACUAGGGGGAAAAAUGGCACAAAAAUAGGUGAACAGCCUACUAUUUUAGAGAGAACUAGGCCUUGGAAGUUUUAGCCAUCAACCUCGCUGCUGGCCGCAACACCCAGGAACCUUAUAUUUCAUUACUCACAGAGUCAUAUGGCCAAAAAUAAUGGCCAUAUAAUGGCCAAGAUCCAAAGAGCUACUUGUGCACGAAAGAGCUUGGGUAUGUCCGAGUGGUAGUGGUGUAGAGAGGUCAUGCCCUGCCUGUGUUCUCAUGGACAACCCUCCCAUGGUGGCAGCAGCAGCAGCCUCUCUACCCUGGUGGCAGUGAUAGUGGAGGUAUGUUGGUAGGGUCGCCUCCCCACCCCAGCAACAGGGGAGGCAUGCUCCUGCCACCCAUGCUCCAGCUGGCAUGCACAUUCCCAGCCGCCUCGGGACCAUCAAGAACCCCGAGUGGCUGGGAAGCAGCAGCAGGUUCCAGGAGCGCCAUGCACCACUGGGAAUAGGAAGCGUGGUGCACUGCCAUGGAGAAGAGCAUGGCAGUGGGCACCAGAGGGAGUGACUGGUGAGCUAGCCAGUGGGGAAGGGGAGGAGAGAAAGGGGCUCCUUUUGCUGGGCCAGGCGGCCCCUGAGGCAGUGGGUGUGGUUUCUUCAGACCCGUCCGCCCUAUUGUAGCUCUGCCCCUGCCUAGUGGAAAUUUUCAUUUCCUUCAACAGCAGCAACAACUGCCUCAACUGUCGUGACUGUUGGAAAAGGUGCUGUAGAGUGGCUGGGUGGGAAGAGCUCAGGUGUCAUGAAGUCCCUGAGGCUCGGCCUAGCAGGUAAGUAGAUAGGUCACACAGGUCCUAGAAUGCUCCUCCUGUCCAGCAGUAGCACUAACUGCCAAGGGUGAUUGUUGGAAAAGGUGAUGCGAGUAGGCAGGGUGGGGAGGCACAGUGUCAGUGUUUUAUAUACCACCCUUCCAGAAAUGGCCCAGGGUGGUAUAUAAACCACCUCAUCAACUAAUAUCUAUCAACCAGCUAGGCAGAGAUGCCAUCUCUAGAGAUGCCAUCCUCAACUCAUUUACUCAUAGCUCUUUUGUCUCUUAAAGAGAUUUUGGCUGCUAUCCUGAUUAGGUUACUCAGUCAGAAGUUCUACUGAAAUUCAUAGGACAAAUGAAUCAUGACUAACCUGUCCGAUUAAUGUCAAUGGGACUUCUGUUGAGUAAUUUAGUCAGGACAUCAGCCUUAUGUUUACAAUGCCAGUUUGAUUUCAUUUGACCUCUUCUGUUCUGUGUUUUAUUCCAGGUGCACAGGAGAAGUUUUAAUAAAAAAAUUAAAAGAUUCUAGAACAGGGGUUACCAACCUGUGGACCUCCAGAUGUUGCUGAACUACAACUCCCAGCAUCCCCAGCUACAAUUGUCCUGGUAACAUCUGGAGGAUCACAGGUUGGGAACCCUUGUUCUAGAACACAGAUAGCACAAAGCAAAAUAAUUAAUAUUUCCAAAGUGGGGGGCAUUCUGAGACUAAAUAAGGCUGAAUAAUUCAAGUGCAAUAACCUGAUCCUGAUUCACGGUUACCAAGAUCCUGAUUCACGGUUACCAAGUUUUGUCAAAAGUGACACAAAUCUCAGUACAGUUAUCGGCAUAUCCAAAGCAGGGUUUACCAGAAUCACAAUCCACAUUUGCCAAACACACACACACCCCAACGAUUUCAGCAACAAAGCUUUUUGUGCCAUGUCCCUGGCAUGGUUUUAGAUGGAGUGAUACAAACGUCUACCACAAGAAGACAAGCUCACCAUAGGACUGGGUUGCUAACUCUUUUAACUGAAAAGCUGUAAUUCUCUGAAAGCCAAUGGGUCAUGCUUGCCAGAUACACCAAGGGACUGGACUGUAUAAUGAAUUGUGGCAGGGGAUGAUGGGGUUUGUAGUCCAACAACAGCUGGAGAGCCUCAGAUUGGCCACCCCUGUACUAGUAAAUGGCACUUUCACAGAACAUCAAAUGAGCAGAAUCCCCCUGCAGAUGUCAGAGCUUCGAGUGUGUACUGGGAGGCAUCUGUUAAUGAAAAUUAUACCUGAAUAUAGGUUAGAAAAGGACAGAGUUGCAACUGUCGUCCUUGACAAAAUCUGAUUUCUGCUGAAGUUGCAAAAAGUGUGAGUUUGGUGUCAUUUGUUCCCAGUAUUUCCUGAAUGGCUGAUUUAUUCCACAUUAUUAAUGAACUUUGCAGCAGUCUUACUUGUCAGGCCCACUCUGCAGGGGUCAAUAAUGAGAGGAAACCUGAUGUUAGUGGAUCCAGCUUAAGUGAUUCUGUCAUGUUAACGAUUCAAUAUAUCAGGACAAACGUCAGCUCCUUCCAAUAUGUUAAUUCCUCUGACCUCAUUUGCAUAAACUACAGUCAAUGAAAUACAAGUUCUUCCCUCUUGGGGACUUAAUGAAGAAGUCGAAAUGUAUUUUUUCUAAAUUAUUCUGGUUUUAAGGGAAAGGUUCAUAAGAAUUAGAAAGACAUACAUGUAAACACACAUGAAAAAUAAUCAUCAUUAACUUACUACUUGGGUGCUGUCCAUUACAAGCUUGCGUGCAAGGUCCAUUGAAAUGAGGUUGAGCAGUGGUAGUUGGCAAAUGUUUGGCUUACAAAAGUGUGUACCAUCAUAAAUUGACUAGCCUUUAAGAUACAAAUGGGGUCUUCAUUCUGUUGGCUCUUUAUUAGUCUCCAAAGACCCUGGACUCUUUAUAUCUGGAAUUUGUUAAGAACAUAAAAUCAUAAGCGUCCUACUGGA